rnacentral:rRNA from 1 species
UUUUUGACCUCGGAUCAGGUAGGGAUACCCGCUGAACUUAAGCAUAUCAAUAAGCGGAGGAAAAGAAACCAACAGGGAUUGCCUUAGUAACUGCGAGUGAAGCGGCAAAAGCUCAAAUUUGAAAUCUGGCGCCUCCGGCGUCCGAGUUGUAAUUUGGAGAGAUUUCUUCGGAGUGAACACCGGUCCAAGUUCCUUGGAACAGGACGUCACAGAGGGUGAGAAUCCCGUGUCUGGCUGGUUGUUUCAUUCCAUGUGAAGAGUCUUCGACGAGUCGAGUUGUCUGGGAAUGCAGCUCAAAAUGGGUGGUAAAUUUCAUCUAAAGCUAAAUAUUGGCGAGAGACCGAUAGCGCACAAGUAGAGUGAUCGAAAGAUGAAAAGCACUUUGAAAAGAGAGUUAAAAAGUACGUGAAAUUGUUGAAAGGGAAGCGCUUGAGACCAGACUCAAUUUAUGGUGAUCAGCAGUCCUUCUGGGCUGUGCACUUGCCAUAUUUUGGGACAGCAUCGGUUCUGACCGUGUGAUAAAGGUUCGGGGAAUGUGGCUCUCUUCGGGGAGUGUUAUAGCCCAGGGCGUAAUGACACGAGUUGGGACCGAGGACCGCGCUUCGGCUAGGAUGCUGUCAUAAUGGUCUUCAGCGACCCGUCUUGAAACACGGACCAAGGAGUCUAACAUCUAUGCGAGUGUUCGGGUGGAAAACCCUUGCGCGUAAUGAAAGUGAACGGAGGUGGGAACCUUUCGGGGUGCACCAUCGACCGAUCCUGAUGUCUUCGGAUGGAUUUGAGUAAGAGCAUAGCUGUUGGGACCCGAAAGAUGGUGAACUAUGCCUGAAUAGGGUGAAGCCAGAGGAAACUCUGGUGGAGGCUCGCAGCGGUUCUGACGUGCAAAUCGAUCGUCAAAUUUGGGUAUAGGGGCGAAAGACUAAUCGAACCAUCUAGUAGCUGG